GGUAACGUAACUGAAUUAAUAAAACGUGCUUUUUUCUCAGCUUAAUGUGCAAAAAAAAUAAUAUCUUCAUUUACAAUAGUAGUCACAGAAUAAGUCCAAUAGGAUUUGAUGAAACCAUCUACAAAACGAAUCUGAAAAAUUGUGUGCUUACUUUAUUUUGUACGGUUUUAAAAACUGGAGGAGGUGAUUCAUUGUGCAUCUGACGAAAAUAGAUUCCCGUUAUAACCAAACACGCAAUGGAGCUGAAAGAUGGCGACGAGCGUAUGAUGCGACUUCUGUAUCUUACGUGUCGAGCAUGCAACGACUUUGCAGUUUCCUUGACUAACCAUGUAUUACAAAGCAAACAUAAUACCGAUUGGGAAAAAUGGACCAACGAUUCUUGUCGAAAGAACGGUUUAAUUCAAGAGUUUUUCAAUAAGUUUGAAAAAUCAGUUACAGACAAAUUGAUCCCCGAUAUAGAAGAAUGCGAUACAACAUUGCUCACAAAUUUACUGUCUAGGCGUCUGGCAAAGCAAGACAAAACCAUUGACGCUUGCAACCAAAUACUACGAGGCCUGCGGAACAAUAUGGCACACGGGCAAACACGUUUUUUGUCAGCAGCCGAAUAUGACGGAAAAGUUACUCAUUUAGUUGAACAAAUCAAAGAAUGUGGCAAAACUUCAAGUUUAACACAAGUGUGCGAUGAUAUUAUCAAGUUUGUGGAAAAUAAUAAAACACUGAAGUUCACAUCGUUUCUAGCAAAUCAUCCGAAUGAGUUUCACAGAUUCCUAAUGUCUUUAGAAAGAGAGUUGGAAGUAAUCAAAGCAGAUUUACACGACAACUCGAAUAAUCUACAGGACGUGGUUUCACAAAUUAGCAUUUUUGAAAAACAGUUCACAAACGUCUCUACGAAAGAUGAUACUAAUGAAAUUACGAGAAAAAUGCACGAGCUACAAGCGGGAACUUCCAGCGAAAUUUAUCAUUCGGCGGCUAGACUACAGUCGAUGAUGGAAAAAGGAGCAACAAAGGACGAUACAAAUGAAAUCACUAGAAAAAUGCAGGAAAUGCAGGCAAGUACUUCCAGUGCAAUAAAUCAAAGCACGGCGAGACUUGAAUCCAUAAUAAGAAAAGAAGAAGCACAACAGAACAAUGAACGACUUGUAUCGAAUAGUCGAGAAAAAGAAUCAAACUUACCAAGCAGCAACAUACCUGAAACUCGACCAAUAGCGGGUCGUCAAGACUACCUGGAUGUAUUGAGAGAAAAAUUGGAGUCCAAGGUUGUUGUAAUUUCAGGAGCGCCCGGAAUGGGAAAAAGUACACUUGCUUGGACGUUCGCAAAACAGGAAAUGGAUACAAAUGCAUCACAAAUCUGCUUGAAUGCCUCGUUCAAGGAAUUAUCGUCUGAUCUUGAUGAAACACUUGUCAAGCCCAACGCUGUUAGACUACUGUGCCAACUGUUUCCAGCUAUUACUCAAGCAGUUAAUGACUCCCCUGAUCCUCUGCAAAUUUUGUUCGCGCACAUCAAAAAUAUUGUUCAAUCAAAAAAUCUAUUAAUUGUUCUUGACAACAUAGAUACACUUCUAGGGAAAUUCAGACAAUAUGGUAUAGUGAACGAAAUAAUCAACAAAAUUUUUGUUACUGGUGUUAGAGUUAUCUGUACAUCAAGAGAUAAAUCCUACGAUUUGGAAUUGAAUCAAUCCUUGUUCGAAACACAAGAUUUGAAACCCCUUGAAGCUGAAGAUUGCAAAAAAUGGCUACAGAAGCUGCAUAGUGAACUUGAGGAUGAAUUGAUCCAAGAAAUUGUUAGAUCGUCAGGGGGCGUUCCUUUAGUUCUAAAGAUAUUGGCAGCUCUUGUCCAGAGAAUUGACGACAUCACUGUCACUGAGCUGCGUCAGCUCAAAUCCAGUCAGGGCUUCAUUACCUUGGAAGGCAGUCUUUUAUUAUCUUUUGAAAAACUGACCAAAGAACAGUCACUUUUAAUGAAUUGUGCAAGCAUAUUUCCAGAUAGUUUCGACAAAAAAACUAUAAGCUGCAUUUUUCGAGAUUAUUCUCAAUCGAAAUUAGAUGGAAUUAUUUUGCUGAUUGACUGUCAAGGUUUGAGUCUUGUGGAGUAUGACAAAUGUUCCAAGCUAUUCUAUUUACAUCCUUUUAUUAAAGAUUACGUUCGGCUGAAAAUCAGCGACUUUGCUAAAUUGGAGCUUGUUUAUAUCAGAAAUUAUUUCGACAAGCUGCUUCAUUGGUCCCUUGCUCAGGUUGAAAAAAACAACUUCGGCCCAACCUUAGAUUCUGUGCGACGUGACUGGCACAACUUAAAUCAGUUCAUUGCCUCGUUUCGCAAUCUGGAUCUAGCUGCUACUGAUCUAAAUGAUGUUUUCCCUGUCAGCUGGAGCGGCCAAUUAUGCUUUGCUAUAUUGGCAUGUUUCUCUUUUUUGCGGAUACUCAGCAGCUUCAGAACCCUAUUGCUUCCAUUUGCUGAAAAACUAGAAGCAAUAAUGGCGGAACUAAAAGAGCCUAAUGCUCUAAUUGUUUGCAAAUGCAUAAUAUCUUCUGAACUGCGCCGAAAAAAGGUUGUGGGAAACAUCAACAAAUCAAGAAACAUUCUAAAUAAAAGCCGGGAAAUAGUUGCUGAUGAUAACUCAUUGAACACAAGCUUAGCGCGGGGCUUCUUGUAUUAUACAAUCGCUCGCUCUAUUCGGUAUAACAGCUACGGGAAAGAUACGAAACCCACAUAUUCAUUUGAUUGGGAAGAGUGGCUGAUUGCUGAUUGUUAUGAAAAAUCUGUUGAGAUGUAUGAGAAAAUUUUAACUAGCUCGGAUGCUUGGGUCGUGGAGUAUUGGCCUAUAAUAUUGUGCGAAAAAACUCGUACGCUAACAGAGUUACGCCGUGCCCAACUGGACGCGAUUACAGAUAAAAAUGACAAACCGGAUAAGCUCAAGUCAAUAAUUUCAAAGCAUCUUGCUUUCAAAGAUGAUCUGACCGAAACACUUGGAAAUCAUGAGUCAGUUGCUUACACGACUAGAAAAUUAGCCGAUCGCGUAAAAUUCAACAUUAAAGACCAGAAAGAAGCUUCCUUGUUAUAUGAAAAAUCGCAUCAGAUCUACACAAGUUUUGGCUCUGAGAUGAGUAUCCAAACUGCAAUUGUCUUGAAGGAAUGGUCAGGUUGCUGCAGCAAUGAUGAAGCUAUUGCGAAGCUACGCGAAGCAAAAAAAAUAAUGGAAGAUAAUUACAUGACAUACCACAGCGAUUAUUUUGCUAUCCGCAAACGUUUAGAAGAAAAGCUGGCUGAAGUAGUAACGAGUAAAGCAAACGGUGGUAUAUAAAUCAGUUGAAACAAAGAGGAGCUCUAACAUACACCAGCCAAAAAUACUGGGCGAUAUC